UAUUUUGAGGCUUAUUGGAAUAAAGUGU
rnacentral:piRNA from 1 species